rnacentral:rRNA from 1 species
UACGUAGGGGGCAAGCGUUGUCCGGAUUUAUUGGGCGUAAAGAGCGUGUAGGCGGUCCGAUAAGUCCGCUCUGAAAGCCCGGGGCUCAACCCCGGGAGGCGGGCGGAUACUGUCGGGCUAGAGUCCGGAAGAGGCAAGUGGAAUUCCUGGUGUAGCGGUGAAAUGCGCAGAUAUCAGGAGGAACACCGAUGGCGAAGGCAGCUUGCUGGGACGGUACUGACGCUGAGACGCGAAAGCGUGGGGAGCAAACAGG